rnacentral:rRNA from 1 species
AGCGAACAUUGGCGGUAGGCUUAACACAUGCAAGUCGAGCGAGGCUACGAGCCGAGCGGCGAACGGGUGAGUAAUACGUUGAAAUCUACCCUGGAGUGGGGAAUAACCAGCAGAAAUGCUAGCUAAUGCCGCAUAAUCCAUAUUGGGAAAGCGCUUGAGCGCUCUAGGAUGAGUCAACGGCCGAUUAGCUAGUUGGUGGGGUAAUGGCUCACCAAGGCGACGAUCGGUAGCUGGUCUGAGAGGAUGAUCAGCCACACUGGAACUGAGACACGGUCCAGACUCCUACGGGAGGCAGCAGUGGGGAAUCUUGCGCAAUGGGGGCAACCCUGACGCGGCCAUACCGCGUGAGCGAUGACGGCCCUCGGGUUGUAAAGCUCUUUUGGCGGGGACGACGAUGACGGUACCCGCAGAAUAAGUCACGGCUAACUUCGUGCCAGCCGCCGCGGUAACAC